rnacentral:tRNA from 1 species
UGGGACGUCGGCAAGUGGUAAGCCCCCAGCUUUUGGUGCUGGUAUUCCGCUGGUUCGAAUCCAGCCGUCCCAG